GAAUUUUCGGCAAUGGACGAAAGUCUGACCGAGCAAUGCCGCGUGAACGAUGAAGGUCUUCGGAUCGUAAAGUUCUGUUGUUAGGGAAGAAUGGUAUAACUAGGAAAUGAGUUAUAAAGUGACGGUACCUAACUAGAAAGCACCGGCUAACUAUGUGCCAGCAGCCGCGGUAAUACAUAGGGGGCAAGCGUUAUACGGAAUUAUUGGGCGUAAAGCGUGCGUAGGCGGUUUAUUAAGUCUGAUGUGAAAUGUCACAGCUUAACUGUGAAGGGUCAUUGGAAACUGGUAAACUUGAGUACAGUAGGGGUAAGUGGAAUUCCAAGUGGAGCGGUGGAAUGCGUAGAGAUUUGGAGGAACACCAGUGGCGAAGGCGGCUUACUGGGCUGGAACUGACGCUGAUGCACGAGAGCGUGGGGAGCAAACAGG
rnacentral:rRNA from 1 species